GUGGGGAAUAUUGGACAAUGGGCGCAAGCCUGAUCCAGCAAUGCCGCGUGGGUGAAGAAGGUCUUCGGAUCGUAAAGCCCUUUCGACAGGGACGAUGAUGACGGUACCUGUAGAAGAAGCCCCGGCUAACUUCGUGCCAGCAGCCGCGGUAAUACGAAGGGGGCUAGCGUUACUCGGAAUUACUGGGCGUAAAGGGCGCGUAGGCGGCUCUGUUAGUCAGGCGUGAAAUUCCUGGGCUUAACCUGGGGACUGCGCUUGAUACUGCAGGGCUUGAGGCCGAGAGAGGGUGGUGGAAUUCCCAGUGUAGAGGUGAAAUUCGUAGAUAUUGGGAAGAACACCGGUGGCGAAGGCGGCCAACUGGUCCAUUACUGACGCUGAGGUGCGAAAGCGUGGGGAGCAAACAGGAUUAGAUACCCCGGUAGUCC
rnacentral:rRNA from 1 species